AAGUCGUAACAAGGUUUCCGUAGGUGAACCUGCGGAAGGAUCAUUACAGAGUUCAUGCCCUCACGGGUAGAUCUCCCACCCUUGUCUAUCUCAUUAUCUGUUGCUUUGGCGGGCCGCGAGCCUCGCUCGCCCGGGUGCUGCCCGGCGUGCCCGCCAGAGGAAACCCCAACUCUGAAUGUUAGUGUCGUCUGAGUACUAUAUAAUAGUUAAAACUUUCAACAACGGAUCUCUUGGUUCUG
rnacentral:misc_RNA from 1 species